UGCCUAAGUCUUAUAGAUUUCUAUAGGAUAUGGCAAAAGAAGCCCGUUCAGAGCAGUAAGCCUCUCAUCAGAGCACUCUGAACGGGUCAUGUCAGGAAACUGGCAUGGGUGGCCGCAAGGCCAUC
rnacentral:sRNA from 1 species